ensembl:misc_RNA Metazoa_SRP Metazoan signal recognition particle RNA
GCUGGGCAUGGUGGCGCGUGCCUGUAGUCUCAGCUACGUGGGAGGCUGAGGUGGGAGGAUUGCUUGAGCCCGGGAGGUCCAUGCUGCAGUGAGCCGUGGACUGCCCCACUGCACUCCAGCCUGAGCGACAGAGCAAGACUCUGUCUCAA